rnacentral:rRNA from 1 species
GACGAACGCUGGCGGCGUGCUUAACACAUGCAAGUCGAACGGAAAGGCCCUGCUUGCAGGGUACUCGAGUGGCGAACGGGUGAGUAACACGUGGGUGAUCUGCCCUGCACUUCGGGAUAAGCCUGGGAAACUGGGUCUAAUACCGGAUAGGAGCCAUUUUUAGUGUGAUGGUUGGAAAGUUUUUUCGGUGUAGGAUGAGCUCGCGGCCUAUCAGCUUGUUGGUGGGGUAAUGGCCUACCAAGGCGGCGACGGGUAGCCGGCCUGAGAGGGUGGACGGCCACAUUGGGACUGAGAUACGGCCCAGACUCCUACGGGAGGCAGCAGUGGGGAAUAUUGCACAAUGGGCGCAAGCCGGAUGCAGCGACGCCGCGUGGGGGAUGACGGCCUUCGGGUUGGAAACUCCUUUCGCUAGGGACGAAGCUUUUUGUGACGGUACCUAGAUAAGAAGCACCGGCUAACUACGUG